rnacentral:rRNA from 1 species
CAGUAGCCGCGGGAACACAGAGGGUGCGAGCGUUAAUCGGAUUUACUGGGCGUAAAGCGUGCGUAGGCGGCUUCUUAAGUCGGAUGUGAAAUCCCUGAGCUUAACUUAGGAAUUGCAUUCGAUACUGGGAAGCUAGAGUAUGGGAGAGGAUGGUAGAAUUCCAGGUGUAGCGGUGAAAUGCGUAGAGAUCUGGAGGAAUACCGAUGGCGAAGGCAGCCAUCUGGCCUAAUACUGACGCUGAGGUACGAAAGCAUGGGGAGCAAACAGGAUUAGAUACCCCCGUAGUCCCUGUCUCUUAUAC